rnacentral:ncRNA from 1 species
CAUCUUCAAGGCAGGGAGCAUUUCCCGACCGGCGGUAACAGCCCGCAAGAAGUAAUUCAGAAUCGGUGGAAUUCCGAUGCCGACAGUAUAGUCUGGAUGGGAGAAGAGG